rnacentral:misc_RNA from 1 species
GAAAUGCGAUAAGUAAUGCGAAUUGCAGAAUUUCCGUGAGUCAUCGAAUCUUUGAACGCACAUUGCGCCCAUUGGUAUUCCGAUGGGCAUGCCUGUCCGAGCGUCAUUACGCACCCUCAAGCCCGGCUUGUGUGAUGGGCCCUGGCGUCUCGUUCGCGAGACGGGCCCGAAAGGCAGCGGCGGCGUCGACCCGAUGAGCCCGAGCGUAUGGGGACUUUUGUCACACGUUUGCGGUGCGGACCGGCGCCUGCUUGACUUUUCUGAUUAUCCAGGUUGACCUCGGAUCAGGUAGGGAUACCCGCUGAACUUAAGC